rnacentral:rRNA from 1 species
UACGAAGGGGGCUAGCGUUGCUCGGCCUGACGGGGCGUAAAGGGCGCGUCGGCGGACUGCACAGUCAGGCGUGAAAUUCCUGGGCUUAACCUGUGGACUGCGUCUGAGACGUGUGAUCUAGAGUGAGGAAGAGGGUCGUGGAAUUUCCAGUGUAGAGGUGAAAUUCGUAGAUAUUGUAAAGAACACCGGUGGCGAAGGCGGCGACCUGGUCCUUGACUGACGCUGAGGCGCGAAAGCGUGGGGAGCAAACAGG